UAUUUGAUGUUAACCAUUAAUCCUAAAAGUUUGAGCUAUUAGAAAUAUAUAAUCAAUUAACUUAAACCGUACAGACACAACGUUCACAGGUAUAGACUGUGACUCAAUCCUCGUAGCUACUUCAAACAUAACUCAGCCUUACCUAGCCUCCCGCUACAGAGCAAGAUGCUAGUCCAUAUAAGCCAACAGUUAAGUGGAAGCUAAAAAUAUAAAUAAUGUAACAUGCCCCGAAUUCGCCCCAAUCUGCCAAGUGAAUGGAGCGGGAGGCAGCAGACACUUUUUUUUUCUUUAAUCUGCCGAAAAUAUGCUUCCAUCCUGAUUCGCUUCGAAUGAAGCGGUAAACGGGGGCCCAAAAUAGAAUUGAAUUAACCCAUCCCAAAUCCACCCUGACCCAAUAAAAAAUGAAGCGGA
rnacentral:lncRNA from 1 species